AACGAACGCUGGCGGCAUGCCUAACACAUGCAAGUCGAACGAAGGCUUCGGCCUCAGUGGCGCACGGGUGCGUAACGCGUGGGAAUCUGCCCUUUGGUUCGGAAUAACAGCUGGAAACGGCUGCUAAUACCGGAUGAUGACGAAAGUCCAAAGAUUUAUCGCCAGAGGAUGAGCCCGCGUUGGAUUAGGUAGUUGGUGGGGUAAAGGCCUACCAAGCCGACGAUCCAUAGCUGGUCUGAGAGGAUGAUCAGCCACACUGGGACUGAGACACGGCCCAGACUCCUACGGGAGGCAGAAGUGGGGAAUAUUGGACAAUGGGCGAAAGCCUGAUCCAGCAAUGCCGCGUGAGGGAUGAAGGCCCUAGGGUUGUAAAGCUCUUUUACCCGGGAAGAUAAUGACUGUACCGGGAGAAUAAGCCCCGGCUAACUCCG
rnacentral:rRNA from 1 species